rnacentral:miRNA from 1 species
UCGUCGCCGGCGACCACAGC